CUUUGCAUGAAACUUUUGUACCUAUAUGCAUGAGUUUUCUCCGAUCGUCUACACUAACACGAUGGAAAAUAGAUGCCUUCGUCCGUAAAAACGGGUCAGUUCACGAAAAUGCCUUUUGUAUACAUGGAAGAUUGAGCGAAGGUUUUGAAGAACGCAGAAGGUUUUCUGAACACAGACGGAACACAGACUUUGUCAGCAGAGAC